rnacentral:lncRNA from 1 species
GUGAGGGAGGGUGCGAGACAGCGCAGCGAGUGUGACAGUGCGGGCCGUGGUGCCACCUUCCUCCUCAGCAGCAGCCCGUGGGCUGGUUCUUCUCGUCCUUUCUGUUUUCUCCCCUUCUGCAUUAGCCAUGAAAGACUGCUGUAGGCGGCUGUGCCUGGCGAAGUUGCAGCCUGUGUUCUCAUAAAUUAGGAAUUUCAUCCCUGCAGUCUGCCAGCCUCUGAAAGUAAACAGGGUGCAUGCAGAUACACAGAAUUCCUCACAGGCUGAACCAUUUGGAGUGUGAUCAACAUGAUGCUGGAUGGUGCAGCCCUGAGGUGCUAACCAAUCUACCUGUUUUUCUUCUUACUGCUCUUCUGGAUCUUCUUACUUCUACUGGAUCUUAUUGUUCUUACUACCAGCUGUUGAACAAGAAUACUCACAGGCUUAUUGACUCAGGUGAGUCCUGCUACACUUUUUUUAUUCUUCUGCAAAUCUUACUGCUUAUUAGCAUUUUAUUCCAGCCCAGUUGUUACCAAAUUGCAGAUGAUAUCUGGUAG